GACGAACGCUGGCGGCGUGCAUAACACAUGCAAGUGGAGCGACCUGCGAGGCCUUCGGGCCUCAUCACGCAGGGAGCCGCGAACGGGUGAGUAACACGUGGGCAAUCUGCCCCGUCGAUUGGGAUAGCCCGGGGAAACCCGGAUUAAUACCGAAUGUGAUUGCCGGCCAUGAGGUCGGCAAGGAAAGGAAGCUUCUAGGCCUCCGCGACGGGAUGAGCCUGCGGCCCAUUAGCUAGUUGGUGGGGUAAUAGCCUACCAAGGCAACGAUGGGUAGCUGGUCUGAGAGGAAGAUCAGCCAGACUGGGACUGAGACACGGCCCAGACUCCUACGGGAGGCUGCAGUGGGGAAUCUUGCGCAAUGAGCGAAAGCUUGACGCAGCAACGCCGCGUGAGGGAAGAAGGCCUUUGGGUUGUAAACCUCUUUCAGGGAAGAGUAAGGCCCGUGAGUUAAGAGCUCACCGGGUUGAAAGUAUUCCCAGAAGAAGCACCGGCUAACUACGUGCCAGCAGCCGCCGUAA
rnacentral:rRNA from 1 species